CCUACGGGAGGCAGCAGUGGGGAAUAUUGGACAAUGGGGGCAACCCUGAUCCAGCCAUGCCGCGUGUGUGAAGAAGGCCCUCGGGUUGUAAAGCACUUUCAGUGAGGAAGAACGCCUGGGGGGUAAUACCCAUCAGGAAAGACAUCACUCACAGAAGAAGCACCGGCUAACUCCGUGCCAGCAGCCGCGGUAAUACGGAGGGUGCGAGCGUUAAUCGGAAUUACUGGGCGUAAAGCGCGCGUAGGUGGCUUGAUAAGCCGGUUGUGAAAGCCCCGGGCUCAACCUGGGAACGGCAUCCGGAACUGUCAAGCUAGAGUGCAGGAGAGGAAGGUGGAAUUCCCGGUGUAGCGGUGAAAUGCGUAGAGAUCGGGAGGAAUACCAGUGGCGAAGGCGGCCUUCUAGACUGACACUGACACUGAGGUGCGAAAGCGUGGGUAGCAAACAGGAUUAGAUACCCUUGUAGUC
rnacentral:rRNA from 1 species